GCAGCACCCGAAGGAACAUCAGAACCAACAUUGGAGAUCACAGAGGCUAGUAAAGAAGAGGUAACAGACUAAAUAAUAUGCUAUAGUUAAAUCAUAAGAUUUUCAGUCUCUGUAAUACAACCUGUAAAUUAAAUUGGGAACAUUAUAAAACUAAAUUCACUUUGCUCCCUCCUGCUCAGACUUAACAGGCCAGGGUAGAUCAACUGUUUGGUGUUAUCUGAUCC